rnacentral:rRNA from 1 species
UGAGGAAUAUUGCACAAUGGAGGAAACUCUGAUGCAGCAACGCCGCGUGGAGGAUGACGCAUUUCGGUGUGUAAACUCCUUUUAAGAGGGAAGAUAAUGACGGUACCUCUUGAAUAAGCACCGGCUAACUCCGUGCCAGCAGCCGCGGUAAUACGGAGGGUGCAAGCGUUACUCGGAAUCACUGGGCGUAAAGGGUGCGUAGGCUGGCUUCUAAGUCAGAUGUGAAAUCCAAUGGCUCAACCAUUGAACUGCAUUUGAAACUGGAAGCCUAGAGUUCAGAAGGGGCAGAUGGAAUUAGUGGUGUAGGGGUAAAAUCCGUAGAGAUCACUAGGAAUAUCAAAAGCGAAUGCGAUCUGCUGGGAUGAUACUGACGCUGAGGCACGAAAGCGUGGGGAGCAAACAG